GAUGGCAACAGGCCUGAGGAUGAAUCUGGGCGAGCUGGUUGAGUCCAUGCGUUUGUGCUUCCUCUCAGUCAACUUUCGCUUACCAUGGGGCAACUCUUGUCUAUCGUCGCCUCAACUGGAAACUUUUCCUGCCGGCUCAGUUAAUGGUCCCCUGUACCAUCCCCAUCCUGAGUGACUACUGAGCAGCCGCAGGGACUCGGGGUUGCUCCGUGACCACGUUACUCAGUUACCUUCUUGUUCCUUGGAGAGGCGGAGCUGAAUGGCCCGUGAGUGCAGUGUACUUCAGAUUCCUGUGAAGGAUUAUGAAAAAAAUGGAAAAAGUUAACUUUCAUUUGAAGAGCAUCUGAGAUGGCGUCCCAGAUAAGGAGGCACUUGAACCCCUUAGAAGUGUCGGCCAUCGGACCCCAAGUCUCCAGCCGUGUUAUCUGCAGACUGUGAUUGUAUGUGCCAAGCUGACUAAAGUCAGAGAUUCCCCUGCUGACCUUGAAAAAGCAAGUCACCAUGAAUUCAACAGGUGCAAAGAAAUGAAUUCUGUCAACAAUCAGGUGACUGUGGAAGAGGUUUCUGAGCCUCAGACUGGCCAGCACUUUGAAGCCUUGUGAGAAUCUGACCAUCCAACUAAGCCUUGCCCUGACUCCUGACCCAUGGAAACUGUGAGAUAAUAAAUGUAUGUUGUUUUAAGCUAUUA